rnacentral:rRNA from 1 species
UACGUAGGGGGCAAGCGUUGUCCGGAUUUACUGGGCGUAAAGAGCGUGUAGGCGGCCAGGUAGGUCUGGUGUGAAAACUCGAGGCUUAACCUCGAGAUGUCAUCGGAAACCAUCUGGCUAGAGUCCGGAAGAGGAGAGUGGAAUUCCUGGUGUAGCGGUGAAAUGCGCAGAUAUCAGGAAGAACACCAAUGGCGAAAGCAGCUCUCUGGGACGGUACUGACGCUGAGACGCGAAAGCGUGGGGAGCGAACAGG